GUUAGGAUGAGACCGAGAAUUCUGGGGUAGGUGGUUAGGAUGGGACUGAGAAUUCUGAGGUAGGUGGUUAGGAUGGGGCCAAGAAUUCUGGGGUAGGUGGUUAGGAUGGGACCGAGAAUUCUGGGGUAGGUGGUUAGGAUGGGACCGAGAAUUCUGGGGUAGGUGGUUACGAUGGGGCUGAGAAUUCUGGGAUAGGAUAGGUGGUUAGGAUGAGACUGAGAAUUCUGGGGUAGGUGGUUAGGAUGGGGCCGAGCAUUCAGGGAUAGGUGGUUAGGAUGGGGCUGAGAAUUCUGGGGUAGGUGGUUAGGAUGGGGCUGAGAAUUCUGGGAUAGAUGGUUAGGAUGGGGCUGGGAAUUCUGGGAUAGAUGGUUAGGAUGGGGCUGGGAAUUCUGGGGUAGAUGGUUAGGAUGGGGCUGGGAAUUCUGGGGUAGAAUUUUGGGUGACAUUGAGAAUCUGA
rnacentral:lncRNA from 1 species